GUAACGAGCGCAACCCUUGUCCUUUAGUUACCUAGCCACGUUAUGGUGGGCACUCUAAGGGGACUGCCGGUGACAAACCGGAGGAAGGUGGGGAUGACGUCAAGUCAUCAUGGCCCUUACGGCCUGGGCUACACACGUGCUACAAUGGUCGGUACAAAGGGCAGCUACCUGGUGACAGGAUGCUAAUCUCAAAAGCCGGUCUCAGUUCGGAUCGGAGUCUGCAACCCGACUCCGUGAAGGCUGGAAUCGCUAGUAAUCGCGCAUCAGCCAUGGCGCGGUGAAUACGUUCCCGGGCCUU
rnacentral:rRNA from 1 species